GCACAGAGAGAUUAAAUGACAUCUUCAGGGACACAGCUAAUGAGGAAACCGAGUCCCAAAGAGAUAAAGUGAUUUGUCCCAGGACUUUCAACUAGUAAGCGUCGGAGCCAAGACUUGGAAUUGUAUAGUCAGUUCCUGCCUCCAAGUCUAGUGCUUUUUCCAAAAUACCAUUUUGAAUUAUCUGACAUGAUUUAUUAUUCAUAAAAUCACAUUUAUUACUUUCCA